rnacentral:rRNA from 1 species
CUUGCUUUCUCGAGCGAGUGGCGAACGGGUGAGUAACGCGUGAGGAACCUGCCUCAAAGAGGGGGACAACAGUUGGGAACGACUGCUAAUACCGCAUAAGCCCACAGCUCGGCAUCGAGCAGAGGGAAAAGGAGCAAUCCGCUUUGAGAUGGCCUCGCGUCCGAUUAGCUAGUUGGUGAGGUAAUGGCCCACCAAGGCGACGAUCGGUAGCCGGACUGAGAGGUUGAACGGCCACAUUGGGACUGAGACACGGCCCAGACUCCUACGGGAGGCAGCAGUGGGGAAUAUUGCACAAUGGGGGAAACCCUGAUGCAGCGACGCCGCGUGGAGGAAGAAGGUCUUCGGAUUGUAAACUCCUGUUGUUGAGGAAGAUAAUGACGGUACUCAACAAGGAAGUGACGGCUAACUACGUGCCAGCAGCCGCGGUAAAACGUAGGUCACAAGCGUUGUCCGGAAUUACUGGGUGUAAAGGGAGCGCAGGCGGGAAGGCAAGUUGGAAGUGAAAUCUAUGGGCUCAACCCAUAAACUGCUUUCAAAACUGUUUUUCUUGAGUAGUGCAGAGGUAGGCGGAAUUCCCGGUGUAGCGGUGGAAUGCGUAGAUAUCGGGAGGAACACCAGUGGCGAAGGCGGCCUACUGGGCACCAACUGACGCUGAGGCUCGAAAGUGUGGGUAGCAAACAGGAUUAGAUA